GAUGAACGCUGGCGGCGUGCCUAAUACAUGCAAGUCGAGCGAACAGACGAGGAGCUUGCUCCUUUGACGUUAGCGGCGGACGGGUGAGUAACACUUAGGUAACCUACCUAUAAGACUGGGAUAACUUCGGGAAACCGGAGCUAAUACCGGAUAAUAUUUCGAACCGCAUGUUUCGAUAGUGAAAGAUGGCUUUGCUAUCACUUAUAGAUGGACCUGCGCCGUAUUAGCUAGUUGGUAAGGUAACGGCUUACCAAGGCAACGAUACGUAGCCGACCUGAGAGGGUGAUCGGCCACACUGGAAAUGAGACACGGUCCAGACUCCUACGGGAGGCAGCAGUAGGGAAUCUUCCGCAAUGGGCGAAAGCCUGACGGAGCAACGCCGCGUGAGUGAUGAAGGUCUUCGGAUCGUAAAACUCUGUUAUUAGGGAAGAACAAACGUGUAAGUAACUGUGCACGUCCUGACGGUACCUAAUCAGAAAGCCACGGCUAACUACGUG
rnacentral:rRNA from 1 species